rnacentral:snRNA from 1 species
CAAUAUUGUAGCCAGUGAGGUUUAUCCAAGGAGUGGUUAUUAACAACUGAAUAACUUCU